AACAAAAGUCUAUUUGUACAUGAAUUUCUUCACGGUUGACAAAUGUGAUGUAAAGAAAUUCAAAUCAUAGCUGAGCCUCAAUGCCUAGAUAGCCUCACAGGUCCGGGACAAGGGAUAAGCAGCAUAGGCAGCUGCCUAUAGCAUCAUUGAAGGCCACCUGUGCUUUCACUGAGACCCAAUACGAAGAUGACAACUGCUUUCUGACGAAGAAUAAAGAAUCAUUGUUGCACUUGAAACUGUACAGCAAAUCCAAAGAACUUGGAUAUUGCAACACAAACAGGAGUUUACCUUGUGUCAACAGUGACCUACAAAGCAUUGUACAGAGCUGGCAGCAAAGAUGACAUGUUCGGCUGUUAACCUGGAGAUUUACACUGGGUUUCCGAAAAGCUUAUUGUAGAUGGCUUGGCAAUGAGUCAAGGAAAAUAUAGUGAUUUGCCAGCACUGAGAAGCCAUGUAUACAGGAACAAGAGUGGCUUGUUCAUAGCACACAUCCAAGCACUGACUCGAUGACAGAAUGCAUUCAGUAACAAUGGACACAAUGUUGGUUAAGUGCCAUAGAUUAAAGUGACCCUCCA